CAGUCGCCACGGGAAUACAGAGGGUGCGAGCGUUAAUCGGAUUUACUGGGCGUAAAGCGUGCGUAGGCGGCUUCUUAAGUCGGAUGUGAAAUCCCUGAGCUUAACUUAGGAAUUGCAUUCGAUACUGGGAAGCUAGAGUAUGGGAGAGGAUGGUAGAAUUCCAGGUGUAGCGGUGAAAUGCGUAGAGAUCUGGAGGAAUACCGAUGGCGAAGGCAGCCAUCUGGCCUAACACUGACGCUGAGGUACGAAAGCAUGGGGAGCAAACAGGAUUAGAUACCCGAGUAGUCCCUGUCUCUUAUAC
rnacentral:rRNA from 1 species